rnacentral:pre_miRNA from 1 species
UCAAAAUGAAUACCCUUAUAUUCAAUGUUUGACUGUUCCAUUUUAUUUGAAAAAAUUGUAUGCUUAGUAUUUUUAUUGUUAAUCAGAUGAUAAAACAUGAAUAGUAAUUUACGUGUGACUUUUGUUCUUAAAUAUAUUUUUAUAAAUUCAUCAAAUAAGAGAGACGGUCAAAUGUUGGACACGAGAAUCACAACCACAGUGAAC